rnacentral:lncRNA from 1 species
GUAUCAUUGCCCAAGAGGUUGCUGGUGAUGUUCGUAUGACUGAUACCAGAGCUGAUGAGGCAGAACGUGGUAUCACUAUUAAGUCCACUGGUAUCUCUCUCUACUACGAGAUGACUGAUGCUUCCCUUAAGAGUUUCACUGGAGCCAGAGAUGGCAACGAAUACCUCAUCAACCUUAUCGAUUCACCUGGGCACGUUGACUUUUCUUCUGAGGUUACUGCUGCUCUCCGUAUUACUGAUGGUGCUCUUGUCGUGGUCGACUGCAUUGAGGGUGUCUGUGUUCAGACUGAGACUGUUUUACGUCAGGCUCUUGGUGAGAGGAUUCGACCUGUCUUGACUGUCAACAAGAUGGACAGAUGUUUCCUUGAGCUUCAGGUUGAUGGUGAGGAGGCUUACCAGACUUUCUCGAGGGUCAUUGAGAAUGCUAAUGUCAUCAUGGCUACAUAUGAGGAUCCUCUCCUUGGUGAUGUUCAAGUUUAUCCUGAGAAAGGAACUGUUGCGUUUUCUGCUGGUCUCCAUGGUUGGGCGUUUACACUUACCAACUUUGCCAAGAUGUAUGCUUCCAAGUNNNNNNNNNNGGUUGGGCGUUUACACUUACCAACUUUGCCAAGAUGUAUGCUUCCAAGUUUGGUGUUGAUGAAUCUAAGAUGAUGGAGCGACUCUGGGGCGAGAAUUUCUUUGACCCAGCCACCAGGAAAUGGACAACCAAAAACACUGGUUCAGCAACCUGCAAGCGUGGAUUUGUCCAGUUCUGCUNNNNNNNNNNAACCAAUCAAGCAAAUCAUCGCUACUUGCAUGAAUGACCAGAAGGACAAGUUAUGGCCUAUGUUGCAGAAGCUUGGUGUCCAGAUGAAGAAUGAUGAGAAGGAGCUGGUGGCUAAACCUUUGAUGAAGCGUGUUAUGCAGACGUGGCUCCCUGCUAGUACUGCACUACUUGAGAUGAUGAUCUUCCAUUUGC